GGACUAGGAAGGAAACUAUAGCGAUCUUGUCUUACCUCUCUGAGAGGCGAACAGUUAGUUUUUGUGCGAGCGCUUUACAGAGGGAUGUCUUCCCUGUUCCUGGUGGACCUAAUGAGAUAUUGGUACAGGUAUGUUUGCUAUGUAAACUCCAGCUUUACUAAGGGAAACCAUGACAGCAAGUCAUCAAGAAAAUCUACCCUGUAAUCAAGCCACUUUCUUGUAUAAUAGGCAGCCUAUCCAUAGUCACUGCUGCAUAUGCACGUAGCUCACCAGUCCUUUUAUGCAUAUACAGUGCAUCUACAGAAAGGAAUGGAAUAUGCAUGUAUAUCUACUAACUUGAAGGCAAUAACCAGUGAUUUGCAGCUGAUAUUUCUUCYUCGAGUUCCUCGCUAGCAGGACCAUCUUCAUGAAGUUGAAARACAUGGAUUGCAAGUUUGCAAUUUUGAAGAUCAAUUGCCUGUGCAGUAAACACAACUUGGAUCAUUAAAUAAUAAACUUUAGUACAAAUCCUGGUGCAAAUCCUGUAGGGUCAGUUUUGUAAAAAGAUUAGUUCUGUUAAAGUGUUAGUUAUCCUGUGUAAGAUCCUAUUCAAGAUCCUACAGGAUCCUGUCUAAGAUUUGCACCAGGGAAAAAAACAAUUUAGAAAUUGUAAACGCUUUCUAGACCUGACACAACAAGUCAUGCUUUUUUAUGGAUCACCAUCUGUUUACAUUUUCUUUACAGUGUAUUAUUUAUUGUUGCCAAUAUAAUAUAAUAUCAUAUUAAUUAUAAACCUUUGUCUCUCUAGCUACAAGUUCAGUGUCACAAACUGUCACAGACUUGACAUGCUCUUUAAGGAAGUGAUCUUCAAAUUGAGUGAACGUAGAAUCGCCAUAAGAAAUACCAACACACAUUAGAAACUGAUAAACAUAGUCACGAAUUGAGCUUGGUUGAGCUGUGCUAUAAAUAAAUAAACAAAAAAAUGAAUGGAA